rnacentral:rRNA from 1 species
CUAACACGCGCGCGAGUCGCAGGGCCGUACGAAACCCGAAGGCGAAACGAAAGUGAAGGCCGUCCCCGAGGACGGCUCGGGCGGGAUCCGCAACGGAGCGAUCCGUUGCGGCGCACCGCCGGCCCGUCUCGGCCGCCGCGUCGGCGAGGCGGAGCAGGAGCGCGCGCGUUGGGACCCGAAAGAUGGUGAACUAUGCCCGAGCAGGACGAAGCCAGAGGAAACUCUGGUGGAGGUCCGCAGCGAUUCUGACGUGCAAAUCGA